rnacentral:lncRNA from 1 species
UCUUGGUUUGCGUUUGAGCUGCGGCAAUUUGUUCAACAAAAUCCAAAAGCCCCAUUUUCCUGAGGUGGUGAUUUCAUGGGAAUCCAAUUCUCACCGUCUAUUCAAAUCGCCAGUCCGCAUGUGAUGUGUAAAAGCACCUCCUCUUCACCCCCAUUUUCUCUUUCUCUAUUUCCCCAAACACGCUGUAACAUUUUCUCUCCCCAUCUUCAUUUUCCAAUCCUUUCUCGUGAUUUCGAAUUCCAGAAAAUAUGUUUAAUUGUUGUCCCUGACGCAGUUGUUUUUCCUCAUAUGAUUAAAGCGUAAUUCUCGGAGAUUCCAAACCAGCCAGAUUGCCAGUGAUGGAAUCUUCUUUUUUUCAAAAAUAAUGCAUGAAAAUCUGGAGAGAAAGUGACUGGACAGAGAAAGAUAGCUUUUUUAUUUGUUUUUAACCCCUUUUCUUCACAAAUCUAAAUCUGGGGUUUUCUGGGUCUUCACUUGAGAAUGGGAGUGGUUUCUAUAAGUAUCAAUCUGGCUUUUUUUUUUU